rnacentral:lncRNA from 1 species
GGGGGCCGAGGCGGGGAAACCGCGGGGGGGAGGAGACCCGAGGCGCAGCGAGUGGCGCCGGAGGGGAGGGGCUGGCGGCCUCCCGCUGCCCACCUGGGCUCGCGCCCCUCUGCGGCGCCCGCUCUUCAGCUGCCUGGGACCCAGAUUACCCGUGUUAGCUCCCACCCCCUCCAUUUCGAAACAGCCUCGCGCGGGGGGGUGGGGGGCCGUGUGUGUGCCAUUAUUGCUCCCUGAAAUUUGCAGACCCGAGAGGAAAGCGAUUCGCAGCGUCGCUCGUAUUUGAAUCGAAACCCAGAGCAAUUUGGGAAGAAACUCGGGGCACAUUUGCAAAAGGACAGCUAGCUUGAAAAGCCGAGGCCAGAGCAGGCUGCUCACCAAGGCCGCUCCGCGCCCACCCCACCCCUGCUCGCCGCCUCUCGUAAAUCACUAGGGGCACAGUCCUUGCAUUGGUGACUUUUGAACAAGCCCCUCCUCGGCAACCAAAGUUCGUUCCGAGUAUGAGGGGGGAAAGAGGGGUGGGGGAGGGACAUUUGGAACGCAGGAGAAAUGCAGUCCGAUCGGAAUCGCCAGACAAGCACCAAAAAGUAAGUUCUAGGAAAUGCAGCCCCAGGCUGUCCCGAAGCCGCCGCCGCCCGGGUACCUGUCGCUAGAAACGUUCGCGUUCCCGUCGCAGCAAUUAGACCAGGUGCAAACUAAACCUACUUGUCAGCAGCACAUUCCUUUGCGAGCCGGGAGAACUGAUAAAUAUCCGGAGGGCGAACGAAAAUAGGUUGUUAGCUCCCUUCUCUGUCGGCCGGUUCCGGAGGCAGAGCUUGAGCUCUUCCUGCCCCCUUGUGUUUGUCCGGUUUCAGAAGCGUGUGGAUUCCCCUUCUGCAAGGUCUCGCUGCGCCCACAUCUCGGAAGAAACGAAGAGGAAAACAGAAGAGCCCUCGCAGUUAAAACCCAGCCAUUUCCAGACCAACCUUUUCCUUGUACUUCUGAACAAAACAAUUUUGGUUUCCAAAUGGGACUUGUCGUGUGGACCUUGUUAUUUAUUUUUUAUGGCAGCAAUGGACUAAUUUUUGUGCAG